rfam:Agrococcus casei LMG 22410 genome assembly, contig: Scaffold18
GCCCCGGUAGCUCAGUGGUAGAGCACUUCCAUGGUAAGGAAGGGGUCGCGAGUUCGAUCCUCGCUUGGGGCA